rnacentral:rRNA from 1 species
UACGGAGGGUGCAAGCGUUGUCCGGAAUUACUGGGCGUAAAGCAGGUGCAGGCGGUUCGUUGUGUCGGGUGUGAAAUCCCAAGGCUUAACCUUGGAACUGCGCCCGAAACUGGCGGACUUGAGUGAGGGAGGGGAUGGUGGAAUUCUGGGUGUAGAGGUGAAAUUCGUAGAUAUCCAGAAGAAUACCGGUGGCGAAGGCGACCAUCUGGCCCUUUACUGACGCUCAGACCUGAAAGCGUGGGGAGCAAACAGA